AGAGUUUGAUCCUGGCUCAGGACGAACGCUGGCGGCGUGCUUAACACAUGCAAGUCACGGGGGCCCGCAAGGGCAACCGGCGAACGGGUGCGUAACACGUGAGCAAUCUGCCGAUCUCUGGGGGAUAGCCGGCCCAACGGCCGGGUAAUACCGCAUACGUUCUCGAGGGGGAGUCCCCUUGAGAAGAAACCUCCGGGGGAGAUCGAGGAGCUCGCGACCUAUCAGCUAGUUGGCGGGGUAACGGCCCACCAAGGCAUCGACGGGUAGCUGGUCUGAGAGGAUGGCCAGCCACAUUGGGACUGCGACACGGCCCAGACUCCUACGGGAGGCAGCAGUGGGGAAUAUUGCGCAAUGGACGAAAGUCUGACGCAGCGACGCCGCGUGUGGGAUGAAGCCUUUCGGGGUGUAAACCACUGUUGCCCGGGACGAAACUCUCCUUUCGAGGAGAUUGACGGUACCGGGUGAGGAAGCACCGGCUAACUCUGUGCCAGCAGCCGCGGUAAUACAGAGGGUGCGAGCGUUGUCCGGAAUCACUGGGCGUAAAGGGCGCGUAGGUGGCGGGAUAAGCGUGUGGUGAAAGCCCGGGGCUCAACCCCGUGUCUGCCAUGCGGACUGUCUUGCUCGAGCGUAGUAGAGGCAGGUGGAAUUCCGGGUGUAGCGGUGGAAUGCAGAGAUCCGGAAGAACACCGGUGGCGAAGGCGGCCUGCUGGGCUACUGCUGACACUGAGGCGCGACAGCGUGGGGAGCAAACAGGAUUAGAUACCCCCGUAGUCC
rnacentral:rRNA from 1 species